rnacentral:rRNA from 1 species
UACGUAGGGGGCAAGCGUUGUCCGGAAUCAUUGGGCGUAAAGAGCGUGUAGGCGGCCAGAAAAGUCCGCUGUGAAAACUCGAGGCUCAACUUCGAGCUGUCGGUGGAAACUUUCUGGCUAGAGUCCGGAAGAGGAGAAUGGAAUUCCUGGUGUAGCGGUGAAAUGCGCAGAUACCAGGAAGAACACCCGUGGCGAAGGCGGUUCUCUGGGACGGUACUGACGCUGAGACGCGAAAGCGUGGGGAGCGAACAGG